UACGUAGGGUCCGAGCGUUGUCCGGAAUUAUUGGGCGUAAAGAGCUCGUAGGCGGUUUGUCGCGUCUGCCGUGAAAGUCCGGGGCUCAACUCCGGAUCUGCGGUGGGUACGGGCAGACUAGAGUGCAGUAGGGGAGACUGGAAUUCCUGGUGUAGCGGUGAAAUGCGUAGAUAUCGGGAGGAACACCAGUGGCGAAGGCGACUACCUGGCCUGUUCUUGACGCUGAGGCGCGAAAGCUAGGGGAGCAAACGGG
rnacentral:rRNA from 1 species